rnacentral:rRNA from 1 species
AGUGAACGCUGGCGGUAGGCCUAACACAUGCAAGUCGAACGGCAGCACAGUAAGAGCUUGCUCUUACGGGUGGCGAGUGGCGGACGGGUGAGGAAUACAUCGGAAUCUACUUUUUCGUGGGGGAUAACGUAGGGAAACUUACGCUAAUACCGCAUACGACCUACGGGUGAAAGCAGGGGAUCUUCGGACCUUGCGCGAUUGAAUGAGCCGAUGUCGGAUUAGCUAGUUGGCGGGGUAAAGGCCCACCAAGGCGACGACCCGUAGCUGGUCUGAGAGGAUGAUCAGCCACACUGGAACUGAGACACGGUCCAGACUCCUACGGGAGGCAGCAGUGGGGAAUAUUGGACAAUGGGCGCAAGCCCGAUCCAGCCAUACCGCGUGGGUGAAGAAGGCCUUCGGGUUGUAAAGCCCUUUUGUUGGGAAAGAAAAGCAGCAGGUUAAUACCCCGCUGUUCUGACGGUACCCAAAGAAUAAGCACCGGCUAACUUCGUG